AGUACAACCCCAGAAAACAGACGCCCUAACAGACUGAAGCUCGGAAGAGACAUGGACCCGAAUGAGUAUCACUGUUUUACUUUACUUUUCCUUUUGAAAAAUGGUAAUCAUAACAGAUGAAUUAUAAAUGUUAAUUUCGGAUUUUAUUUUGUGUUUCAGAGGCAGCUGUCGCCGUUGGAAUAGGGGCAGGAGCAGGAGCAGUCGUUGCUGUCCUAGGGAUUCCUCUUGUCCUGGGAGUCAGGUUUCACCUCGGCUGGAAUAGCAGCGGGCUCAUAUGCAGCCGGCAUGAUGUCAUCAGCUGCAAUAGCUAAUGGAGGAGGAGUGGCAGCAGGAGGUCUGGUGGCUACUUUGCAGUCAAUAGGUGCAGCUGGUCUGUCUGGAGCUGCGACCACAGCUGUGUCUGGUGUUGGAGCAGCAGUGGGAUGGCUGGUCAGCCACAUCCGCAAAAAGGCAUAAAGGAACAAGAUGGAGCCAAAUCUCAGACAACUGAAAUGUUUUAGUUUCUGCUUCCAACACGUAAUUCCUAUCAAGCCCUUCAAUACAUUGAUGGACAUGAACAACAGUCCUUGCGUACGUCCCUGGAUCUGGAGCCUCCUGUGGGAAAGGAGAAGUGGGUUAAGGCCCUUUAACCCGCAGCAGUGGUGCUCCUCAGGGAUGUGUCUAAUCACACUGGCUCUUCUCCUUAUACGCUAUCAGUUUUACAGCCUCCUGAAUUUUAAUCCUUGCAUUGUGAUACAUUCAGCUCGUCAUGGUCUGGGACUAUAGUCAUUAGUGAAAUCAAUAAAUAAAAUUGAUUGAUUGAUCAGUA